AUUGAACGCUGGCGGCAGGCCUAACACAUGCAAGUCGAACGAUUGGCGGACGGGUGAGUAAUGUCUGGGAAACUGCCUGCUGGAGGGGGAUAACUACUGGAAACUGUAGCUAAUACCGCAUACCAUCAGAUGCGCCCAGAUGGGAUUAGCUCGUUGGUGGGGUAACGGCUCACCGAGGCGACGAUCCCUAGCUGGUCUGAGAGGAUGACCGGCCAAACUGGAACGGAGACACGGUCCAGAGUCCAACGGGAGGCAGCAGUGGGGAAUAUUGCACAAUGGGCGCAAGCCUGAUGAAGCCAUGCCGCGUGUAUGAAGAAGGCCUUCGGGUUGUAAAGUACUUUCAGCGGGGAAGCGUUACCCGCAGAAGAAGCACCGGCUAACUCCGUGACAGCCGCCGCGGUAAUUC
rnacentral:rRNA from 1 species